UGUGGAAAGAGACACGUGCAGCGGAGCGUGGCGCUGAUCGCACACCUCCGGCUGCAAUCUGAGGAAACAUGAUGAUGAUGAUGGUGAGGAGCAUGAUGUAAUCCCUCUCAUGCAACAGCAAGCGCGUGAACACCACAUGCACAGAGCAGCAGUGCCAUCUCAUGGUCACACAGGGAAGUGCCUUACGUAAGGUUCAGAUAAUUACAUCACCUUUAUCAGACAAUAGUGGCUGCUGAGAAUCUGAUGCACCAAUACAGACACAAACGCAUCACCAAUGUUGGCAAAAACAACAAAAACGCUCACAGAUGAUGCAGCCUUAUGAUCUCUUACAGUGUUGUACUACUGAACCUAUUUAUUUCAGUUCAUUUCAUCACAUUGGUGAGACGAUGAUGACAAACUAAAGCAAAUCACCAUAAUAGAAUGAUUUCUGAAGAUCAUGUGACACUGAAGACUGGGAUGAUGUGCUGUCUUACCGUUGUCCUGAGUCUCCUGUGAAGCCAUGAGUCCACUCCUCUUCUUGCGGAUGUUAAUGAGUUUCGCCUGUGAGAUCUCUCUGACUACAGAGGACAGCUGCUCUUUAGAGCUCUGCGCCGGAGGACUGCUCUUCUCCUGUCUACACUCAGACUUGCUCAGAUGAUGGUUCCCCACCUCACAAUGCCAAU